rnacentral:rRNA from 1 species
GACGAACGCUGGCGGCGUGCUUAACACAUGCAAGUCGAACGGAAAGGCCCUGCUUUUGUGGGGUGCUCGAGUGGCGAACGGGUGAGUAACACGUGAGUAACCUGCCCUUGACUUUGGGAUAACUUCAGGAAACUGGGGCUAAUCACGGAUAGGAGCUCCUGCUGCAUGGUGGGGGUUGGAAAGUUUCGGCGGUUGGGGAUGGACUCGCGGCUUAUCAGCUUGUUGGUGGGGUAGUGGCUUACCAAGGCUUUGACGGGUAGCCGGCCUGAGAGGGUGACCGGCCACAUUGGGACUGAGAUACGGCCCAGACUCCUACGGGAGGCAGCAGUGGGGAAUAUUGCACAAUGGGCGGAAGCCUGAUGCAGCAACGCCGCGUGCGGGAUGACGGCCUUCGGGUUGUAAACCGCUUUCGCCUGUGACGAAGCGUGAGUGACGGUAAUGGGUAAAGAAGCACCGGCUAACUACGUG